UUUCCGUAGGUGAACCUGCGGAAGGAUCAUUACUGAGUGAGGGCCCCUCGGGGUCCAACCUCCCACCCGUGUUUAACGAACCUUGUUGCUUCGGCGGGCCCGCCUCACGGCCGCCGGGGGGCACCUGCCCCCGGGCCCGCCCCCGCCGAAGCCACCUGUGAACGCUGUCUGAAGUAUGCACUCUGAGACAAUUAUUAAAUUAAUUAAAACUUUCAACAACGGAUCUCUUGGUUCCG
rnacentral:misc_RNA from 1 species